rnacentral:rRNA from 1 species
GGUUUAAUUCGAAGCAACGCGAAGAACCUUACCAAAUCUUGACAUCCUUUGACCGCUCUAGAGAUAGAGUCUUCCCCUUCGGGGGACAAAGUGACAGGUGGUGCAUGGUUGUCGUCAGCUCGUGUCGUGAGAUGUUGGGUUAAGUCCCGCAACGAGCGCAACCCUUAAGCUUAGUUGCCAUCAUUAAGUUGGGCACUCUAAGUUGACUGCCGGUGACAAACCGGAGGAAGGUGGGGAUGACGUCAAAUCAUCAUGCCCCUUAUGAUUUGGGCUACACACGUGCUACAAUGGACAAUACAAAGGGCAGCUAAACCGCGAGGUCAAGCAAAUCCCAUAAAGUUGUUCUCAGUUCGGAUUGUAGUCUGCAACUCGACUACAUGAAGCUGGAAUCGCUAGUAAUCGUAGAUCAGCAUGCUACGGUGAAUACGUUCCCGGGUCUUGUACACACCGCCCGUCACACCACGAGAGUUUGUAACACCCGAAGCCGGUGGAGUAACCAUUUAUGGAGCUAGCCGUCGAAGGUGGGACAAAUGAUUGGGGUGUUUGAG